rnacentral:lncRNA from 1 species
AUGGUGGGCAGGCACUCGGAUCCCCCAUGGCGUCAUGUACAUGGGAACCUCUCAAUGAGAGCUAGCUGCUGCGGGUCACUGACUGGUGGGGAGGUCACCGGGCUGGGUGUGUCUGUUGGGUUCCUGAGCCAUGGAUCCAUCGCUCCCACAGUCUGCGACUUCAGGGAGGGCCUGGAACCUAAAAUGGAGAGGUCAGGUCACUCCAGCCCUCCCCCUCCCCCUGCUUCCCUGCCUCUGCUUCCUUAUUUCCUGCCACAGGACGCAGGACACUGGGCGGGCAGCUGGUCGAAUCCCCAGGACAGGCCUCAGGAGGCAAAGGACCCCACAGCCUGCACCACUCCGGUGCCCUGGCUGGAGCCAAGGCCAAAGCAUGUAGAGCACCUGGCAGGAGAACAAAUCUCCUCAGCCUGCGAGCACACAGGGCAACGUCACCGACUCACCCCUGCUUGGUGUCUCUCCUCCCUCCACCAAGGUGAUGUCAACAGUGGCACUUCUGGCCUUGAAGAAUGGACUUGCUCUGCGGAACACGGGUUGGCUGAGGACUGGAUCUCUCCAGUGUUGUAUUUGGGUUUCCGGACAAAGCAGAAACGUUUUCAACUUAGAGUUAGUCUACCUGGUAGCCUUCCAGAUGGCUGCAGCCUGUCUGUUUGUAAUGGGAAAGAAGUCCUGAUGAAUGUCCAGACGCCCUGUGUGCCAUCUGGAUCCUGGUGUAAAGAAGGCCAGUCAAGAUGGACGUGCUUCACCCAUUUGUUGAGUGCCAGCACUUUGCCGCACAGAACAGAGAUUACAUGGCCUGCCCACCCAACAGGCCGACGAUCACAGGACCCUGUGUGUCCCUGUGGAUGUCUCCAACUCAGCUUAUAUUUUAAAAGAAAAUAA